UAAUUGAUAUGAAGAGCUUGCUCUGAUUUGAUUUUAUCUGACAAAGAGUGGCGAACGGGUGAGUAACACGUGGGUAACCUACCUCUUAGCAGGGGAUAACAUUUGGAAACAAGUGCUAAUACCGUAUAACACUAACAACCGCAUGGUUGUUAGUUGAAAGAUGGUUCUGCUAUCACUAAGAGAUGGACCCGCGGUGCAUUAGCUAGUUGGUAAGGUAAUGGCUUACCAAGGCGAUGAUGCGUAGCCGAGUUGAGAGACUGAUCGGCCACAAUGGGACUGAGACACGGCCCAUACUCCUACGGGAGGCAGCAGUAGGGAAUCUUCCACAAUGGGCGCAAGCCUGAUGGAGCAACGCCGCGUGUGUGAUGAAGGGUUUCGGCUCGUAAAACACUGUUAUAAGAGAAGAACGACAUUGAGAGUAACUGUUCAGUGUGUGACGGUAUCUUAUCAGAAAGGAACGGCUAAAUACGUGCCAGCAGCCGCGGUAAUACGUAUGUUCCAAGCGUUAUCCGGAUUUAUUGGGCGUAAAGCGAGCGCAGACGGUUAUUUAAGUCUGAAGUGAAAGCCCUCAGCUCAACUGAGGAAGGGCUUUGGAAACUGGAUAACUUGAGUGCAGUAGAGGAAAGUGGAACUCCAUGUGUAGCGGUGAAAUGCGUAGAUAUAUGGAAGAACACCGGUGGCGAAAGCGGCUUUCUGGACUGUAACUGACGUUGAGGCUCGAAAGUGUGGGUAGCAAACAGGAUUA
rnacentral:rRNA from 1 species